UCAGGCCAGCGGAAAUUAAGUGUUUUGGUACCUGAGGCAGAGGGUUACAUGGGGGCCUACCUUGCCAAAGCUUUAGGUGGAAAAGGCUGUCUCUAUAUAAUGCCCAUCCAGGACACUUUAGACACCUCCCCCUUGCCCUACUCAUCGAAGGAGUUCGAAAAUAUGCCAAAAGCCAGAUGUGCCACGUGUCAUCUAAGCAUGCCUGCAGCUGUUGGCUUUACACGCACAAGAGUGUGAACCAAGCAGCUGUCUGACCGCAUGGAUCUGGAACCGGAUCUGGACCCAGAUUUAGAUGAGUCUCCAGCUACAAGCAAUCCUGGGAAUGCUUCUCCAAGUGUGCUCCCGUGUAGGAUCUCCUGUUCU